GCGCGCUAAACCGACAUGCGGGCCUCCGGUAAGGGCAAACCAGACAAACCGACACUUUUGGAGCCCCGAGUCCGAUUAAAUCGUAUUUUUAUUUCGUACGGAGAAGGUGAUGAAGGAGAAAUCAUCAUCAUCGGUUCCUUUCUGAAUCGUACGACGCCUCCUGCUCCCUGUUGCAUUGCAUGCCGCUUGGUCUGCUCUUCCCCCCUCCGAGGAGAAGGGACUCUCGAGUGGGUGGACCGUCGGCGUCGUUCCUCCUGCGACGGUGGUGGAAUGGAUGAGCCGGCCAGGAUUUCGUCGCCGUACAGGCGCCGGCGUGAUUUGGAGGCCGGAGGUGGACGCCCCGAGGGGAACGAGUCCUCCGAUGAUCCGUUCGACAUCACCAGCACUAAACACGCCGCCAUCGGUCGUCUCAGGCGAUGGAGGCAAGCUGCACUUGUGUUGAACGCCUCUCGUCGAUUUAGAUACACCCUUGACUUGAAGAAGGAAGAACAGGUGAAGAUAUCAUUGCAGAAAAUUAGAGCUAUCACUCAGGCCAUGCGCGCUGCACAGAUUUUCCAAGCACAAAGUCAACAAGCUAAUGGAAUCUCAAAAAGGCCCAUCCCAAGUGGUGAUUUUGGGAUCAGUCAGGAGCAACUUGCUUUGAUGACCAGAGACCGUGAUGUUUCUACUCUGGGAGAGUAUGGAGGGGUCAAAGGACUAGUGGAGCUCUUGAAGACAAAUUUGGAGAAGGGUAUUCACGGAGAUGAUGCUGAUUUUUUGGCUCGACAGAACACAUAUGGAUCAAAUACAUAUCCUCGGAAAAAAGGAAGGAGUUUUUGGAUGUUCCUUUGGGAAGCCUGGCAAGAUCUUACUUUGAUCAUACUGAUAAUAGCUGCAGUGGCUUCUUUGGUACUUGGAAUAAAGUCGGAGGGCAUUAAGGAAGGAUGGUAUGAUGGUGGGAGCAUUGCUUUUGCUGUUAUUCUCGUCAUUGUUGUCACAGCAAUAAGUGAUUACAGACAGUCUCUGCAGUUUCAAAACUUAAAUGAGGAGAAAAGAAAUAUACACUUGGAGGUUGUCAGAGGUGGCAGAAGAGUGGAAGUUUCAAUAUAUGAUGUCGUUGUUGGUGAUGUUGUCCCCCUUAAUAUUGGUGAUCAGGUUCCUGCAGAUGGAGUCUUGAUUUCUGGUCACUCCCUGGCGAUUGAUGAAUCUAGCAUGACUGGAGAGAGCAAAAUUGUUCACAAGGAUGCAAGGGAUCCCUUUCUGAUGUCUGGCUGCAAAGUUGCAGAUGGCCACGGCACUAUGCUUGUGACGAGUGUGGGGAUUAAUACAGAGUGGGGUUUGCUCAUGGCCAGUAUUUCGGAAGAUACUGGGGAAGAGACACCCCUGCAGGUUCGGUUGAAUGGGGUUGCUACAUUCAUUGGUGUAGUUGGACUGUCUGUAGCUGUUGCUGUUUUGGUGGUUCUUUUGGCAAGAUUUUUUACUGGCCAUACGAAAAAUUCAAAUGGCACUGUUCAGUUUAAGGCUGGUCAGACUAGUGUUAGCGAUGCUGUAGAUGGAGCGGUCAAAAUAAUUACUGUAGCAGUUACCAUUGUGGUAGUUGCAGUACCUGAAGGGCUCCCUUUAGCUGUUACACUGACACUUGCUUACUCAAUGAGAAAAAUGAUGGCGGACAAAGCUUUGGUGCGAAGGCUUUCUGCAUGUGAGACUAUGGGUUCUGCCACAACUAUAUGUAGUGAUAAAACUGGAACCUUGACUUUAAAUCAGAUGACUGUGGUUGUGGCUUAUGCUCGUGGAAGAAAGGUUGAUCCUCCAGACAGCAACUCACAGUUAUCUACUUGUCUGAUUUCUCUGUUGAUUGAAGGCAUUGCUCAGAAUUCAAAUGGCAGUGUUUAUGUGCCUGAGGCUGGGGGAGAUGCAGAGGUGUCCGGUUCACCAACUGAAAAGGCCAUUUUACAGUGGGGGAUCAAGCUGGGGAUGGAUUUUGAAGCUAUUAGGUCAAGAUCCUCUAUAAUUCAAGUUUUCCCUUUCAAUUCUGAGAAAAAACGAGGCGGAGUUGCUGUAAAGCUGCCAGACUCAGAAGUUCACAUCCACUGGAAAGGAGCUGCUGAAAUAGUUUUGGCUUCUUGUACAAAGUUCAUGGAUCCAAAUGAUCAAGUGGUAGCAAUGGAUGAAGAAAAGAUGAUGUACUUUAGAAAGGCUAUUGAAGAUAUGGCUGCUGGUAGUCUACGCUGUGUUGCCAUUGCUUAUAGACCCUAUGACAUAAAAGACAUUCCUCUAGAUGAAGAACAGUUAACCAAAUGGGCAUUACCUGAGGAGGAGCUUAUUUUACUGGCUAUUGUAGGCAUAAAGGAUCCUUGUCGUCCUGGAGUGAAAGAUGCGGUGAAACUAUGCCAAAAUGCUGGAGUUAAGGUACGAAUGGUUACUGGCGACAAUCUCCAAACUGCCAAAGCAAUUGCUUUGGAAUGCGGGAUACUAGAUCCAAAGGCAGAUGCUACUGCGCCAAACCUUAUUGAAGGAAAAGCUUUUCGUUCCUUAACUGAUGCGCAAAGAGAAGAAGCUGCCGAGAAGAUAUCAGUUAUGGGAAGAUCAUCUCCUAAUGACAAACUUCUGCUUGUUCAAGCGUUGAGAAAGCGAGGACAUGUUGUAGCUGUAACUGGGGAUGGCACUAAUGAUGCUCCUGCCUUACACGAGGCAGAUAUUGGCCUCGCAAUGGGUAUUCAAGGGACAGAAGUUGCGAAAGAGAGUUCGGACAUUAUAAUUUUGGAUGACAAUUUUGCUUCUGUUGUUAAGGUCGUCAGGUGGGGAAGAUCUGUGUAUGCAAAUAUUCAAAAAUUUAUCCAGUUUCAGCUCACAGUUAAUGUUGCAGCUCUUAUCAUAAACGUUGUUGCUGCUGUUUCCUCUGGUGAUGUUCCACUGAAUGCAGUGCAGCUUCUCUGGGUUAAUCUUAUCAUGGACACCCUUGGAGCAUUAGCACUGGCUACCGAGCCUCCGACUGACCACCUAAUGCAUAGGUCUCCAGUCGGUAGGAGAGAACCUCUUAUUACAAAUAUCAUGUGGAGGAAUUUAUUGAUACAGGCUGCCUAUCAAGUGAGUGUCCUGCUUGUCCUCAAUUUCCAAGGUAGAAGCUUACUGAAUUUGGAGAAUGAUACCCGCGAUCAUGCUAACAAAGUGAAGAAUACACUGAUCUUCAACGCUUUCGUCUUUUGCCAAAUAUUCAACGAAUUUAAUGCCCGGAAACCAGAUGAGUUUAAUGUGUUUAAGGGACUUACGAAGAAUCGUCUCUUCAUGGGGAUAGUAGGACUGACUCUUAUACUUCAGAUCAUUAUCAUAGAGUUUCUCGGGAAGUUUACUUCAACAGUGAGACUUAAUUGGAAGCAGUGGAUCAUAUCCAUUAUCAUUGCUUUUAUCAGUUGGCCUCUGGCCGUUGUCGGAAAGCUAAUACCUGUCCCCAGAACUCCGAUUCAUGUGUAUAUUGCAAGGUUAUUCUGUCGACGACGAUGAAGUCGUGGAAGUGAACCGAGUGAAUCUUGAAUAAGCUUGGGACCGUGUGUGUCUAGUUUACAGGACGGCAUGAUAGAUUUGGAUCAAAAGUUCAAUGUGGUGAAAUGAAGGUUGCUACUGAUAUCUCUCUGUAAUUGCAAGAUUUGGAUUAGAAGUUGAAUGUGGUGAAAUGAAGGUUGCUACUGAUAUCUGUGUAAAUGCAAGAUUUGGAUUAAAAGUUGAAUAUGGUGAAAGAAGGUUGCUACUGA